CCCGGUUACAUUCCGAACCCGGAAGCUAAGCCUUUCAGCGCCGAUGGUACUGCAUGGGGGACCGUGUGGGAGAGUAGGACGCCGCCGAAC
rnacentral:rRNA from 3 species